AUUAAACUUUAUCUUAUACCUAAUAGAAAUGUAAAAUAAAAAUAUGGGGUCACCGUUCAUUUAAGCUCACAAUCUGCCUCUGAAAGAAGCAUACAUUUUUGUUAAUGUUCUCUUUUUCUGUUGAACUAAUAGGAGAAAUAUUGGUAAUAUCGAAAUAAAAAAAGAACUAAAAUACAGAAAUAGCUAAAAUUUUACAAUUAUUUAGUUUAUGUGUACAGCUUGUUUGAAAACAAUAAUAAAAAAUAUAGGUCAUCGAUGAGUUAAGGGAGUUCGCUUUUCAGUUUCAAAGUAAUUAACUUUUCAAAACACUAGUUUAUAUUGAUAGGGGAUUAAUAAAGGAAUCCAAAGAGCAAAAUAAAUAUAUAGGUCACCGUGCUUGUUUUCGAGAUAUUAGCCAUUGAAAUUUUGGCGGGAAAAUAUUCUCUCUUGACUUUUCAUAGAUUUAUCAUUGACAAGUUGAAGUUCUCAAAAACUGUUAAAAAGUAAUUAAAAUUUUAUAAGACUUUUACAAAUAGCUUAUCAUUAUACAUGUAAAAGAUUUACAAAAAGAAAAAUAGGGGUUACCGGGAAAAUUUUUUCAAGGCAUUCAAAUGGAUAAAACCAGAGGAUUCCGAAAAUCUGACAAAAAAUCCAAAACAGGACAAGCCAGCUUCCUUAAAAAA
rnacentral:lncRNA from 1 species